UAGUCCACGCCCUAAACGAUGCUAACUCGAUGUGUGGGCAGUAAGCACUGCGCAUCCAAGGGAAACCGUUAAGUUAUCCACCUGGGGAGUACGUUGGCAACAAUGAAACUCAAAGGAAUUGACGGGGGCCCGCACAAGCGGAGGAACAUGUGGUUUAAUUCGAUGAUACGCGAGGAACCUUACCUGGGCUUAAAUGUAGAGUGCAUUCACUAGAAAUAGAGAUUUCCUUCGGGACUCUUUACAAGGUGCUGCAUGGUUGUCGUCAGCUCGUGCCGUGAGGUGUCGGGUUAAGUCCCAUAACGAGCGCAACCCCUAUCGUUAGUUGCUAGCAGGUAAUGCUGAGGACUCUAACGAAACUGCCGGUGUAAACCGAGAGGAAGGUGGGGAUGACGUCAAAUCAGCACGGCCCUUAUGUCCAGGGCUACACACGUGUUACAAUGGUCGAUACAAUGGGCAGCUACAUGGCAACAUGAUGCUAAUCUCCAAAGUCGAUCUC
rnacentral:rRNA from 1 species